UACAGACCAAUCAGAAGCAAAUGCUCAUUUUUUGAAGUACUGUAUUAGUUGCUGUAUGUUGGCUUCAUACACAGUUUACAUACUACAGAAUUUAUCAGCACUAUCAAAUAAAUGGUUUUCAAUCCAUUGAAAGGAAGUCAUGUUUGUUGCAAUAUAUUGUUUGUGGUAGACACUGG